UACGUAGGGUGCGAGCGUUAAUCGGAAUUACUGGGCGUAAAGCGUGCGCAGGCGGUUCUGAAAGUCAGCUGUGAAAGCCCCGGGCUUAACCUGGGAACUGCGGUUGAAACUACAGGACUAGAAUCUGGCAGAGGGGGGUGGAAUUCCACGUGUAGCAGUGAAAUGCGUAGAGAUGUGGAGGAACACCGAUGGCGAAGGCAGCCCCCUGGGCUGAGAUUGACGCUCAGGCACGAAAGCGUGGGGAGCAAACAGG
rnacentral:rRNA from 2 species